GCUUCCCCUUCACUAUUUUCACCACAUGGGCUACUCUCUAUUGUCAGUGUAAAUAUUGUAUGGCUCCGGCUGCUGAGUAAAUUAAAAUUUGUAGAUCCAACAUGUCUAUGCUCUUCUCCAGCUGCUAUAAGGGAAAGGGCAUGGGCAGGGGAUAAUACAACUUCUUCCUUUAUUCCUUCAACAAAUGUUCCCUGAGUGUCUUCUCUAAUUCUUAAAUUUUGUCCUGCUGGAUUUAAUAAGUCAUUAACAACCUCAUUAUAGAUCUCAAGGUAGGAAACACGAAGAAGAAACUCUCGGUUUGGUGUCUCUUGAAUAAUACUAAAAGCAUCCUUCACAGCCAAUGGUAUAAUUCCAGGGGACCUCUGAUCACCAUGCAUUGUGUGAGUCUUCCCACUGCUUGUUACACCAUAUGCAAAAAUGGUUCCAUUAAUGCCUUCCAUAGCACCACUGACGAUAUGCUGAGCAGCAACAUCAUAGACAUGGCGCGUUGUAGUUGUAGGGCCAAACACCCGAUCAUAUGCAUAUGCGAUGGACGGAUUAUGUUCAUUUCUGACAAUAGUUUCUCCAUCAGCAUACCAAGCAAUCUCUUCUCCUUGACGAAUUUCCCUAGGACUUAAUGGGCGAAAGCGAACGGUGACAGUGACGUUUUCUUUGGAUCUCGCCCCAUUUAAAGUCACACUUUCUGAGUAAAAAUACUGUGGCUUGCUGCGAGCAGAGGAUGAUGCAGGGGAGCUCUGACCAUCUAUGGAUGUUUCUAUAAAUUGUUUUGAAGAUGAUGUCGUUGAAGAAGAAUUAGAAUUUAUAGCUUUUGAACUGACUGAACCUAACCUCUUCGAUUUUGAUCCUUGUUUUGACGCCAUUAACGAACCAACUGACCCUCUUUACCCAAAAUUAACUUAAUUUAGAAAAGAAAAAGAGAAAUAUCGAGAGGAGGACAAAGGUAGAGGGGUGCAUGGAGAGGAAGACGAGUCCUGUAGUUCAGUUACAGAGAGAUCUUAGAUAGAGAGAGAGAUUAAUAGAGCUUAGAUCUAGUAAAGGAGACGGAGGAAGAGAGUGCGAGAAGCCAAUGAGGGUAGAAGAAGACCAUCAUCAUCAUCACUCCCCUGGUCAGAGGUAGAAAGACAGACAGAGAGAGAGAGAAACAGAGGGAGAGAUGGC
rnacentral:misc_RNA from 1 species